GCUCACGACGAUCUGUCAAAUGAUAGAAAAAUAUUCAUUUAUGAAUAUAUUUAUCAGAUUGGUCCGAUUCGCGUAACAAAAUCAAACUAAACAAGUGAUUGAUUUAGGUAAGUUGUUUCGAAAACUUAUGCCUAUAUAGUAAUGAUGUGAUUACCUAAUAAACAGUGAAAUUGUUUUAAAAGAUUUUAAUUGAAAUGCUCAACUUCUAUGUUUACAGCAGGCACACAAAUUCAGAGCAACAGCCCCGCUGCUAGAAGAUCCCAGUUUUGCAUUAUGCUUCCGGCUCCGGCUUCCGCCGAUGUGUCUACAACGAGGAGCUGUAGAAGGAAAUUUGCAUCAUGGAGGAACAUACUCAAAAGGAAUCGAGAAUAUCUUGACUGGACGACAACGAUGACGGAAAAUACAACGACAAAAAGCCGGAGGAAAAUCCUGUAAACAAGCUCUACGGAAGAAGGGAGAGGAUCGGUGACAGCAACAGGCAUUCGUUCGCGUUUUGGGGGACAUGCGCUAGUGCUCGUGGGGCGCGUGUGCAAUUACUCGUCUAGAUGUCCCCUACAGCUGUAAAGGAGGCCACCGCGGGCGCGUUUCUGAUCCAUCCGGAAGUGCGCGUAUGUUGUGCGAGUGAGUGUUAGAGGACCCACUCCUGACCCUGUACUUUUCGGACACUUUGAACGAAGGUUUUCGAGCAUCAAAAAGAUAAUCGCCGCUGCAGCUCGCAUAUCGAAGGUUCCAAGAUUUGUCAUCAUCAAUCUACAAAAGUGGUGGAGGAAAGGUGAAAAUGAAGAUCUCUAUACUGACUACGAGAACGAACCCAUCAACAGUGAAGGAUAUCCUGUCGUUUUCCUGGCAGAUCAGCAAGGAAAUGGCUUUUCUAACUUCAUCGCGAUCUGGUCGCUUGGAAUGCGCUUCUCGGUGAGGGUCGUGUACCGGAGAACAAAGGCCGUGUAAGAUACGAAAAGCGAUGUCUGGGCAUUCGGAGUCGUGGGCUGUCUGCUGGAAAUCGAUCACCUUGGGCGCAUCCCCUUAUUCUGGCAUACCACCAUAGCAAGGGAAAUGGAAAUGGAAUGUCCGAAACAUAAUUCGGAAGAAAUACUCGUCAUUAUUAACUCCUGUUGGUCUGAUGAUCAAACCAUCAUUUAAAUAUUUGGCUGGCCGUUUCGGUGUGCCACAGCAGCUGAUAUCCUUUCCUUCGACCAUUUACGCUGCGGAAUGAAAAACGGGCAGCUGCAAUAGCUGGCAAUGGUGCCAUUGAGGCAAACAAGAACGGCAAAUGCUCAUCGUAAAUUUUAUCUGUACUCUGUAACCAUUAUUA